GUUGAGGUCAGUCCGGUGGGGCUUUUUCUAUAGACCUACAUCGCUGGAAAUGCCUCACAGAGUAGAUGUGUGGUUUCCUUUAUUCACAGAACUGUGUUAGAUCUGUGGGAAAGAACUACAAGACAUCU
ensembl:snoRNA